AUGGUUUGGUCCGUCCGCGUCCCCCUGAAGAUUCGCAUCUUCAUGUGGCAGUGGAUCCGUGGACGGAUCCCGUCCGGUGUGGAGGUCCGCAAGCGUAAUGGCCCGGGCACUGGUAUCUGCCCCCUCUGUGUUGUUCCCGAGGACUCCAACCACAUCUUCUUCGCUUGCGUUUCCGCCCGGUUCCUCUGGAGCUGCUUUCGCGAGAUUGUCGGGGGGAGUUGGAGCCACACAAAUUUCCCGGACUUAUUUGCCGAACUCCAAGCGUCCCCUUCGUCCUCUCGCCACAUUAGGUGGCUGGAGGUUGGGGUCCUUGCCUGGACACUUUGGACUGUUCGCAAUAAGCUUGUGAUCCAGCGUACUCCUCUUCGUCGCGCUACUGACGCUCUCUACAAAUUCUCGGGUUUCUUGCAGCUUUGGCGGCCGCUUAGCCGCCCCCUGGAUCGAGACGUCAUCUCUGCCUUCAUCGCCGAUCUUCGCUCGAUGGUCGCCUGCCUGUCGCCCCCGCCGCCGCCGCCUCCGCCGGAGCCUGACUAG
rnacentral:rRNA from 1 species